AUUGAACGCUGGCGGCAUGCCUUACACAUGCAAGUCGAACGGUAACAGGUCUUCGGAUGCUGACGAGUGGCGAACGGGUGAGUAAUACAUCGGAACGUGCCCGAUCGUGGGGAUAACGGAGCGAAGCUUUGCUAAUACCGCAUACGAUCUACGGAUGAAAGCGGGGGAUCUUCGGACCGUCGCGCGGACGGAGCGGCCGAUGGCAGAUUAGGUAGUUGGUGGGAUAAAAGCUUACCAAGCCGACGAUCUGUAGCUGGUCUGAGAGGAUGAUCAGCCACACUGGGACUGAGACACGGCCCAGACUCCUACGGGAGGCAGCAGUGGGGAAUUUUGGACAAUGGGCGCAAGCCUGAUCCAGCCAUG
rnacentral:rRNA from 1 species